UUUUCUUAGUAGCGGCGAGCGAAAAGAAAUCAGUUCAGCACUAAGUCACUUUGUCUUUAUGGCAAAUGUGAGAUGCAGUGUAUGGAACGUCUACAAUCUAGUAUGAGAAAUUAGCGAUUUAAGUCCUUCUUAAAUGAGGCCAAUUACCCAUAGAGGGUGCCAGGCCCGUAUAACGUUAAUGAUUACUAGAAGUCGCUUCCAAAGAGUCGUGUUGCUUGAUAGUGCAGCACUAAGUUGGUGGUAAACUCCAUCUAAAACUAAAUAUAAUCAUGAGACCGAUAGUAAACAAGUACCGUGAGGGAAAGUUGAAAAGAACUCUGAAUAGAGAGUUAAAUAGUACGUGAAACUGCUUAGAGGUUAAGCCCGAUGAACCUGAAUAUCCGUUAUGGAAAAUUCAUCAUUAGAAUUGUAAUAUCUUUUUUUUUUUUUUUUUAACAAAAAAAAAAAAAAUAUUAUAAGGAUAGGGGGCAUUUUUUCUAUAUAAGGACAUUGUAAUCUAUUAACAUAAUAAAAUAUUUAUCAAAAAAUCAUAAACAUAAAGUUUAUUUAAAUUAUUAUGCUUGCAUUUUAACAUAAAAAAAAUGUUAAUGAUUUGAUAAAGUGUCGAUAGAUUUAUCAUAUAUACAAUGCUUUAAUUUUUUGGAAUUAUAUAAUAGCAUAAUUAUCUUUGAUUUUUAUGUUUAUUAUAUGCAUUUGUAUGAUUAACAAUGCGAAAGAUUCAGGAUACCCUCGGGACCCGUCUUGAAACACGGACCAAGGAGUCUAACAUAUAUGCAAGUCAUUGGGAAUUUUAUAAACCUAAUGGCAUAAUUAACUUAACUGUUAAUAUAUUAUGGGAUUAGUUUUUAAAUUAUUUAUAAUUUAUUAACACAAUCCCGGGGCGUUCUAUAUAGUUAUGUAUAAUAAUAUUUAUAUUAUU
rnacentral:rRNA from 1 species